GACGAACGCUGGCGGCGUGCCUAAUACAUGCAAGUAGAACGCACAGUUUAUACCGUAGCUUGCUAUACCAUAGACUGUGAGUUGCGAACGGGUGAGUAACGCGUAGGUAACCUGCCUGGUAGCGGGGGAUAACUAUUGGAAACGAUAGCUAAUACCGCAUAAUAUUAAUUAUUGCAUGAUAAUUAAUUGAAAGGUGCAAUUGCACCACUACCAGAUGGACCUGCGUUGUAUUAGCUAGUAGGUGAGGUAACGGCUCACCUAGGCGGCGAUACAUAGCCGACCUGAGAGGGUGGACGGCCACACUGGGACUGGGACACGGCCCAGACUCCUACGGGAGGCAGCAGUAGGGAAUCUUCGGCAAUGGACGAAAGGCUGACCGAGCAACGCCGCGUGAGUGAAGAAGGUUUUCGGAUCGUAAAGCUCUGUUGUAAGAGAAGAACGGGUGUGAGAGUGGAAAGUUCACACUGUGACGGUAUCUUACCAGAAAGGGACGGCUAACUACGUG
rnacentral:rRNA from 1 species